rnacentral:rRNA from 1 species
UACGAAGGGGGCUAGCGUUGCUCGGAAUCACUGGGCGUAAAGGGUGCGUAGGCGGGUCUUUUAAGUCAGGGGUGAAAUCCUGGAGCUCAACUCCGGAACUGCCUUUGAUACUGGCAAGCUAGAGUCCGGAAGAGGUAAGUGGAACUCCUAGUGUAGAGGUGGAAUUCGUAGAUAUUAGGAAGAACACCAGUGGCGAAGGCGGCUACUGGUCCGGAACUGACGCUGAGGUGCGAAAGCGUGGGGAGCAAACAGG